CCCUGUGGAAAGCAGAGAGGGGAGAAACGGCUCAGAAAGCAGAUAAUAAAAGUUAUUGGCAUUGGCUUAAUUGGCUACGAGGAAGAGAUGGUUAUUCUUCAAAAUGCACUGAGAUGGAUGAGUCGAAGCAGCAUCAUGCAUAGAACAGCAGCUACAUGGGGAACGUCUGUUGGUGCUGUCAGUCACAGAGUACCCUAAUUCUUUCUGCAUGUCAUCGAUUUAUAACAACGCAUGUUUGGAGUGCCAGCCUGGCUCCAGAAGUUUUACUAGAAGUAGAUUUUCUACUGCUUUCUAAGCUAUAUUAUUAAACACGUUAUUCAGUCCUGUUUAGACAAGGUCUACCCAAGCUGGGAUUGAAUAGCAAAGCCUGUCUGGGGCUUUCUGUGCUAGAGUUGUCUUAGCUGGAGUUGUGUUCAUGAGGGAUGGUCAGCAGGAGUGUGGAUACAGGCUUUUGUUUUGGUUACUGAGCAAACAAAUCAUGCUGGCUUGGUACGGUUUGGUUUAUGCUGCUCUGGGUUGCACUGAGAGCUUGCACUGAUGUGCACAAGUUCUAAACUACCCAGAAAAGCUACAAAUGACUCUUCAGAUAAUGUUUUAAUGAUGCUUUAAUUCAGGAUCUCUUUGAAAGUCCAGCUAUGUUCAGUGCAAUGAGCCACGUGUUGCCUUGUGUCAAAGUCAAGUUUGUGUGGGCACAAGUUGUUUUAAAGUAAUGUCAUGUGUUUAAAUGUGUCACAUCAGUCGCAGGUAUUAGUCAAUUCCUGAUUCAACUCUCAUGCCUGCAAGGUUGUGACAUCAGGAAUGAAAUUAAGCACGUAUGUGUUGGUGAGCAGUUUAAACAGCAGCGAUCUGUUCCAGGGUGCAUUGACUCACUGUUUAAUCAGACCUUCUACACAGAUCCCUGUGCUCAUCAUACUGGCAUCCAUCUGAGAUUAUCUGGGAUGUUCACCUCAAUCUGUCCUUCUAGCAGCAUGGAAUGUGCAUUGGCUUAAUGAAUAGGUUUCCAAUAAAGAAUGUAAACAAAGCUAAGGGCUUUUUCCGCGUCUAAGUAAUUGGCUGAGAGCUUGGAAAACUUGCUGAUGGUGGAUACGGAGGCAAGCAGUAAACUGUGUUUGCUGGUUAGCAAGAAUCUCCUUAAUCCCAUGUAAAUCAGGGAAGGGAGGGCACUUCAGCACAAGUGUGAAUUGUAAACAGUCCUGAGGAGGCUCAGUUGUGUCCUUGCUGUGACUUCCCAGCUGCUGGGACUUGGGCAAGGUGUUUCUGGUCCCCUGAGUGACUGGGAAGUCCCACAGCAAGGGAGAGCACCCACGUGUGCCAUAGGAUUGCUUGCGUGCUUUGAUGCUGUCUGCUGCUUUCUGUCCCCUUUGAGUUACAGCACACUUAGAAAAGCAGAAUGCCAACAAAAUGCACCAAGGAGUUAAGUUCCAUUCCUGUAUUUCUUAUACCAGACCCUGUCUUGCUGUAGGUGCUAAAUAAAGUCUUGUGUUGUCUUGCAUAUAACUGUAAAUCUGUUAAAAUACACAAAUACCAGCUAUUCUGAUCACUAGGCUGAUAGCUUUUCUGCUUGCUUUUCUUUUGCAAAUAGAGAAGCCGUUUUCUCACCGUUUCCCUCUCUAAUACUGGCAUAACUUUGAGGACCUGUAUGUGAGCUGUGUAUAUGGAGGGUUGGGGCUGGGGGGCCUUUGAGGUCUGAAGUUUUUGCUACUUUUUGCCCACUGUUCACAAAUAAACGCUGGUCCUGUAAUGAUCAGCAGUAACAGAAACCAAGGGUUUAUCACCUCCUGCUGGAAGGAGCCUCAUUUACACUCUAGGUAAUGUCUAAAUAAAUACAUCCACUUAAAUGUCAUGAAAAACACACAGCAGGAGCUCCCAGGGCUGCACUGAGCCAAAUAUUGACACAAAACAAGGUGAGGGGAAGUUCAUGUUCUUAAACAGUGACCAGUUUCCCAACGUGUUUUGGGUCUGCCAGGCUCUGCUAUAAGCCUCAGCUUGAACACUUGGCUGCGUGUCAUAAGAUGCCCCUAAUCCAAGGGCUAAAACUGGAAUCCUUGAAUAGUAGGCAAUGUAAUUGAAUUUAAGUGCUUGCACAGUGGCGGUUGUUUUCUCAUAACUCGCAUAUCUGGCUUUAUUGGCUGAAAAAUUGUAAGUAAUUAGGAGUUGAGAGCAGUGAUGAGAGCAGGUUGAGGCACAGCCCACAGUGAUGGGGUCCUUAACAAAAUGAGAGUCAAGAUUGCUGGGUUUUUCUGUACAUCUUUAAGGGUCCUCUGGGAUUUCUGCUUCGCUUCCCCAUUCUCGCCUUUAAUACCCAGUAUAUCUGUCCUAAACUAAUAAUCAGGGGAUGCCAGGUCAUGAGCUAUGUGGGAAUUCUCCAGAUAGCAAUAACCAGUUUUCAAGCAGUGUCGUAAUGAGCACAGUAUAAACACCCACACUGACAGCUCCAUGUUCCUCACCAAAUAGCUGAGGACUUUCACUUCAGGGAUUGCAACUCUUGUCUUGCUUGGUAUCAGCAUAGGGAAAGAAAACAGGCUGCUACCAGCUUCACAUACACAGACAGCAGAGCACGGAGUUCAACUCGCUCCUACAAAAGCUUUGCCCAAGGUGAAUCCACUCAGUGAUUUUAAGGGCAUGUGCAUUUUAAGAAGAAAAUAGUUUUUUUGUCAUCUCUGUGCAGGGGUGUAACCCAUGUGUGAGAUGAAGCCUCAUGCUUGGCUUUCAGAAGUGCCACCCAAAUACACUUUGCAGCAUCUCCCUUACUGGUGGCCACGUCUCAGGGAGCAGCCUUCCUGCUGGGGUUCUGCAGUCUGCUCUGAGGUUUGCAUUGCAGCAGCUGGAACAAAUCACGGGUCUGGUUUGUGCACUGGGGACACUGCCUUGGUGACUUCAGAGGGAAGAACUACGUAGGGCAUCCUUAUGCUAGAGCAACGAGAGUUUUGAAGUGCUUAGAGAGAGCAGGUUACACUUUGUGUAGCUGCUGUCAGUGAUGUCUGAUGAGUUCAGCUUCCUAGCAGAUCUGUUCUAUCUCCUCUUUCGAGGGCCAGAUUCCCUACAACAGAAGGAGCUGUGUGCUGGCAUGAAAACCACCUCUUGUUUUGGUGCCCAUCCAUGAAGGGCUUCUCUGAGUGCCCGAUUCCAGAUGUGAGCGUGGAGCCCUUGGGAGCUCUGUCCCUUAGGGGAUGCAGAUGUUGGGUGGCUGCUCAGGAGCAGUCAGGCAGACGAGAUGUGAUGACAGACGGUGUGUGCAGGCCUGGAGGUGAGGCAGCACUUAGUGGGACCGCUGUGAGCUGCGUGCCAAGGGCAGAGUGCUUGGAGCAUUCAGGACAAAAAAUAAAUAGGAAGAAGGGAAAAGAGGAGUGAUUGUAAAGAAUGUUCAGGGUUGUCCUUCCAGAUGCGGAUGGUGAGGCAGGUUGCCAUGGCCAGCCAGCCCAGGUAGGGCACCAUCAGCAGCGCUGCCACCUUGUUGAUGCGGUACCAGGAGCACACGGUGCCGAUGGCCAGGCUGUCUAAGCACAGGAUGUCAAUCAGCGCCUGCAGAGCAGAGAGAAGAAGGUUACGUGCACCGAAGAAGAAGGGAGGCCAAGCCCAGUUCAAGGCCAGCUGAGCCCCAUAGAGGCCAAGCGGGAUGAUGGCUUUGCUGCUGCAGCCACCCAGGUCAUUCCAUAUCAGGUAGGAGGCGUAGCUGUGGAGAGGGAAACUCGUUAGUGCUGGGCUGUCCCACAGUGCAUAAAUCCAUAGUGUAGUGGAAGGUUGUCCUGUAGCAGAGGUUUGCAUGGCUGCUGUAUGUGCACAGCUGCUGCUCCUGUGCCCCUCAUCAGUGCUCUCAUCUCCCACCCCUGUGGCUCACAGCAUUUCCCCAUGGCAGCAGUUGUUAUUAGUGUCCCAUCACAGUGCCAGAAGCUGCCCCUGCCCAUGGGGUGGAUGUGCUGUGCAGAACUCACCCCAUGCCGGUGUACAGGACAGUCCAAGCCACAGGGAACAUCCUGCGUGGUGGGCACCAUGACGGCUUCUUCAGCUUCUCGUACCAAACUGGAGUUUCCUUCCUGUUGAUGAACCAGCCGAGGAACCCCCCGACGUGAGGCAGGACAGUGAAACCCACGGUGUAAGCCCACAUCCUCCCCUGGUGCCGUGAAGUGGAGCUUUGCCUGUAGCAGCUUAAAAACACACAUCGGUCAUCAGUUUGGACAUCGGUUCUUCUUGCUUUGAUCUCGCCUGUGCAGGAUUCUGACUCACAAUUAACACUUUGCUAUUGCCCGUGCUGAGGGUUAUUGCUGCCAUCAUUACACUACAGAGCUUUCCUCUUUAGAAGCUUCCAUAGGGUUUGAGCCAUAAAGCCUUACCGUCUCUCACUGCCCGUCUCCGCCGUGCAAAGAAGGGUCUGACAUCCGAGGGCACCGUCUGCCUGCGCUGCUGCUCCAGUGCAAGGAGGGGAACGGCUGCUGAGUUUUGCCCAAAUAGCUGAGAAAAGGGGUGUGUGCGCAUCGCUGGGUGGGUCCGAUUACACAGAGCCCACACUGGGGCCCUGCAUGCAUGGCCUGGCCCCGGGGCUGGCACUGCAGUGAUGCUCGGGGUGGUGUGUGGGGCAGAGCAGAGUGCCUGUACCAAAGCAUAAAGUGUGUUGUGCAAAUGAGCUGCUUGAGGGGUGUGGGUGAGGAUCAGGGCUGUAAUAGCAGGAAGUUUUGGGGGGUGUUGCAGGGAUAUGAGCUGCACCGAUGUAUUCCAACAGGGGAUCUCAGUGCUCGGGCAGGAGGAGCUGCUGUGUCUGCAGGGAUCCUCUGCCUUUGCCAUCGCUGGGUGCUGCUGCACAGCUCGCUGGUCACCCUCGGGCUGAAAGUCACCGGGAAGGACUUGGAUCUGAAAUAAAGAUGUGAGAUGAGCGUGUUGAGUGGAAAAGAAGAAAGCUGGAAAUCAAUUUCCAUUAGCCAGGAUCCAACUGGCGGAGCUGCUGCAUCCCAGAAUCUCCUGUGUUAACAGAAGUGCCAUUUCCAGCCAGAAAACUUCAGCAACUGCUGCUUCUGGAUCCAAACGCUCUGGCUGAGCAUUAUGGACCCGUCCAAAUGCAUCCAAAGGGCGCUUUGAGAAGACUGUUGUUGGGAGAACAACUGCUUUAUCCUCUUUAUUUCUUCAGCCUUUCAUGGAAAUAAAGUGAAAGGGUGGAAGAACGCCGAGAUCCAAAGGGACUCGCAGCAAAGAGAGAUACAGGCUCCAGCAUGUAAAGAAAGAGAAAUCAAAGCAUUUGGAAGAUGGGAGGCUGAGCAUCUCAUGCAGAUCUGUGCAAGGGAACCUGUAAUGCACCCAGCAAUAUCUCGAGCAAAGAAGGGCACCAGAAGGAGUCUGCGCUGUGUGUACCAUUUUAUUUUCAAAUAUAUAUAUAUAUUACAUCACUUUAAAACAGAAUAUUUGUGAAAGGAAAGGAUCUUGUGGUAAAAGCAAACCCGCCGUGUCCCACGCAGCCCCUGUGUCUGCAGGCAGCCCCUUCCCCACCUCCCUGCAGCCCCUGCCUGCAGUGCAAGGUGUGCUUCGUGGCUCCAUCCUGUGCCCUGCUGUGCUGGGAUGGAGCAGGGCUUUCUGCAGGGAAAGGAGCUGGAGAGCAGAGGGACGCACCGUGCUGACAUCCCGAGGCAGCUCCCCCUUGAAAUGCCCUGAGAAAUGAAAUAAAUGGCUACAAAUGGAAAUUUCCCUUUGUUCAGCACCGAGGUUAAAAACUCCCUUCUCAGUUCUGGUAUCACAGACUGCGUCAAGGCUCGGUCAUCUACCACAGAGCUGAGGAGUCUCCUUUAUUUAACGUCCCCUGGCCUUACAUCUGAAUUGGGUUCAGAAGGCGAAGCACCUCAGGAAGAUGAGAACAACGUAGGGCUGUUUGUAUGAGCACAGUGCUCCCUUACAGCUGCCAGAGUGUGUUGGAAAGUAGUGAACAAGGUAAGGAGCAGCCAAUGUACUGCUUUCAUCUCUGCAACAAAUCCAGCUGAGAGCAGCAGGGCACGCAGAUAACGGGGUCCGGUAAGAGAAGAGGAAAAGAGCAAUGAGUUGCUCAGCGCGGCAGAGAAGCUCCAUCUGGUGGUGUUCUGACCCAGAAAUGAAGGUGGGGAUGGGGACCUGCAGGCUGCCUGUGCUCCCACCAGGCAGGGAACCUCAAGCUCUGCUCGAUGCAGUGGAGCAGUGAGACGGUGGCAGAUGAAGCUGCGUGGUUAAAUGCAAAGAAGUGCACUUGCAAAGGGGACAAAUGGACUACAGAGCAUCUGCACGUCUGCAAAGCCUGGGCACAGCACGACACAGACACUCAGCACCUCAGUGUUACAGGGAAAGCAACCAAGGCAGGGAGAUAAAGAGGAAUAUAGCAGAUAUUUUAAUGUCCUUCCAGGGAGUGCAGCUCAGGGGCAGGGAUACUGCAUGCAUGGGGACAGAGCGAUGAGCACGGGAAGACCCUGAUACAGAAAGAGGCUGAAAAGUUUCAUUAAAACACAGGAACCUGAGGAACAUCAGUGGUAUAAAAUUAUGGCCGGUCCUGCAAGGCUGCCGGGUGUCCUCUGUGCUGGGGCAGAGCAGUCCCAAGACACUGAGGAUGAAUCUGGAGACAAGGGUACGAAUAGAUGCGGGGAGCUGAUAGUGGAAGGUUUUAUGAACAGGACAGACAGGCAUCCAUUAGGAAAUGCCUCUGCUGGGGGAGCAGGAGGGCAGCCCAGGGCCCAGCAUUCACCCCUUGGCUCCCACAGAGGAUGCUCAGGGCUGUGCUGCUGCUGUCUGUAAGGGGGCUGCCCCACAGGGAUCCCCCAGCAGCAGGAGGAGCCCCAGCGCAGCCCCAUUGCUCAUCCCCUGCCCUGAAGGCUCCUGGCUGCCCCAACUGCUGAGCUGCCCUGGGAGCCUGUGAUGCUGGAACGGGGUGGGUUUGGCUCAGAGAAGCCAUCACAGUUUCAAACCUUAAAGAGUCGCCUG